rnacentral:rRNA from 1 species
UACGUAGGUGGCAAGCGUUGUCCGGAUUUAUUGGGCGUAAAGCGCGCGCAGGUGGUUCGUUGCGUCCGAGGUGAAAUCUCCCGGCUCAACUGGGAGGGGUCUUCGGAUACGGGCGGACUUGAAGAGAGCAGAGGUAGGCGGAAUGCUGGGUGUAGUGGUGAAAUGCGUAGACAUCCAGCGGAACACCAGUGGCGAAGGCGGCCUACUGGGCUCCACCUGACACUGAGGCGCGAAAGCGUGGGGAGCGAACCGG